rnacentral:lncRNA from 1 species
CCUCUUCAAAAUGUGCACUCAGCUUUAUUGCCUGAUCUAUCAACCUCUCGGUCCUAUCGUAGUGCACUGAACCAACUAUUCCAUUGCGCAGGUAUCCUGAGAAACCCCAUCAAAAUUGUAUCUGAGUUUGCGACGGCACUUCGUUGAUCAGCUAGAUUAAACUGAAACUGCAAAUAAGUACAGGUACGCCAAAGACAGACAAGAAAUUUUUUACAGUAUAAAAACUUUUUUAAAAAGCAUUAGAAGCAUGGAUGCUGACAAAAAGAACUCUAAUUAGGGUUAUCAUAUUAAUAUAGAAAUGCAGUUUCCUUUCCCCUCUGUCGGUCCUCCCUAUUGACAGGUUUACAUCUGAAGACAAAUGUCAUAUUCAUAGGGAAACCAAAAAUCGCUAGCACCUAUUGUCUACAGAACAUAAUGCUCCAGCCUAGCAACACACGCGACUGCAAGAGAAGUACCUCUGUAAUUUCUACCUAUGUAAUUUCAUCAUCCAACUCUUCAUUCUCUAAUGUUGAUGUUGAAACUCUUAAAUCGCAUGAAUCAGGUGCUCUCUGGUAGUUGUUCUCUUACUGUGCCAAAAGCUUCAGGUUUAGAGCCACAACAUAAUAGUAGAAUUUAAUGAAAUACCAUAUCAGGUUCGAAGGUACCUUCCACCAACACAGCCUGAUUGAACAGUUGCACUACCUUAAUCAUACCAAGCUUUGCCGGUGACCAUGCUGCAAAAUUUCUUUGUGAUAUUAGUACAAGUUUAUCUUGACUCAAUCACGAGCAUAGUGGCCUUUUCUCCCUAAUCAACAUCGCUGCUUUCUCUCCUUCAUCACCAGGUCAUGCCAAACCUUGUUGCAUAACCUUCUGCACCCAUCGACAAUGAAUAUAGAAUAACCUGCUACACACGUCAACACUGAACAUCGAGCAUAGCAUAAAAAAACAUAUAUGGCAGAAGCACAACAAAGCACCCAUGUACAUCAGGG